rnacentral:rRNA from 1 species
CAGAAUUUGAACUCUCGUGAAGAGGGGAUGCCAUUCAACCACGGGUUGAUUCGCUGCCUGAGAAGAGUCGCUGCUCCAACGGUUUCACGCACUACAGUACACGGAACAGAGCAUCGCCGAAAGCACUAUUUACUGGAAUUCCACUGCACGGACAAGCCACAACUUUGGACGGAUGUACAUACAUGACAUUCCAUACCCGUGGUACACGACGUCCGGGGACCGGGGUACACACCUCACACGGGACUAAAACAGAAACAAACAAGGCCAGGUACACAGCCACUGCGUGGCGAACGGGUUGAUGUGGCCAUGUGGGGGAACAAAAUGCACGUACCAAGUUUCUAGGCGACGACUCCCCGAGGGUCUCGUACGCUGGCGCAGGUCAGUCAAGCAUGGCCGGUCCAGCUACGAUCGCCAUGAGUUGACUUGGACAGUUCGAAGUCAUGUACGUGGAAAUCAGGAGCGAGAACUGACCCACUACGAACUUGCAGCUCGCCAAACUUUUUGGAACCCUGUAUGUGUAUAUAGGCCGCAUCUGCAUGGUACACAUGCAUGCAAAAGGAGUGGAGUAUAUGCACCAACUAUUAUACUAACAUAUCUUUUUCCUCUCGUCUCUGGCGCCUCAAACCCUAGCCGCCGCCAAGAGAGGCCAAUCUUCCAGCGCCGUCAUUCCGCGGCUCCCCUCCGCCGGCGACCUCGGUGAGGGGGGUCGUCGGGUCAACACGUGUUGACCGUUUUUGUCCCUUGUAGUCUAGGUUUUUAGAUUGUUUAUCGUCUUAACUUCGGCGGUGACGAUGACGGCGCACGAUGACGGCACUGAAUAAAGAUUCUUCGGAUCCUUCCCUAACGUGGCCAUCUGUCCUAUGGUUGGGGAUGAAUUUGGAAACCAGACUGUUCAAGCAAGGAUGGCGUGGCGGCGGCGGCAUCCUCGUGGUGGACCUGUGUCCUCGGACUCCGCCGUUGCGACGGUGUUUGCUCCAGCGUCGGCGCGGAGCUUGGGAGGUAGUCCAGGAGCGGAUGCAAAUUGUGGUCUGCAUCGACGACAUCUGAAAGACGGAACGUAUGCUGGGUUCGUGGAUCGUGGAUGGCAGGUAUGGUUUCCUCCUUUGGCGUCUUAGUUGUGGUGGGGUGCCAGAUCUGGAGUUCGAUGGCGUGUCCGGGGUGUUGCCCCAAUCUGAUUUGUUCAACGGCAAGGGUUUCACUUUUGGUGGGCCACCUUGUAUGUCCGCAAAGCUACAUAUCAACGAUGGAGCCACGUCGAGCCCGGGUGAGGAGGUGAUCCAUCAUUCUUUUCUUCAAUGGCUGCUAUGGUGGUGCCGGAGGCAGGUGACGAACGUUGGUGUCAAGCUCAGAGAUGUUCUGCUAUCUUUUCAGUUUUGUUAUGUCGGUCAUUACGUGACUUGUACUAUGAUGUUUAUGAUAUGAAUGAGACAUGUAUUACCAUGCAAAAAAAUAAAAUAUGCACCAACUGCUUUUGUAGCUACCUUAAUACAUUUACAAUUCUUAAAUGCGCAUUAAAGAUUUUCCAAAAAAAAAUUGAACAACUGGUGGCAAUCCUGCGUCCGGGAGCCGAGAUCUGUUAUGGCUGUUGGGGAAUGUAGCAUGCAAUUUCA